rnacentral:rRNA from 1 species
CAAUGGGCGAAAGCCUGAUGCAGCAACGCCGCGUGCACGAUGAAGGCCUUCGGGUCGUAAAGUGCUUUUCUGGGAGAUGAGAAAGGACAGUAUCCCAGGAAUAAGUCUCGGCUAACUACGUGCCAGCAGCCGCGGUAAAACGUAGGAGGCGAGCGUUAUCCGGAUUCACUGGGCGUAAAGCGCGUGCAGGUGGCUUGGUAAGUUAGGCGUGAAAUCUCCCGGCUCAACUGGGAGAGGUCGUCUAAUACUACCGGGCUCGAGAGCAGAAGAGGAAGAUGGAAUUCCCGGUGUAGUGGUGAAAUGCGUAGAUAUCGGGAGGAACACCAGUGGCGAAGGCGAUCUUCUGGUCUGUUUCUGACACUCAGACGCGACAGCUAGGGUAGUAAACGGGAUUAGAGACCCCGGUAAUCCUAGCCGUAAACGAUGUGAACUUGGCGUUGGUGGGUUAAACUCCAUCAGUGCCGAAGCAAACGCGAUAAGUUCACCGCCUGGGGACUACGGCCGCAAGGUUA